CACGUAGGGAGCAAGCGUUGUCCGGAUUUAUUGGGCGUAAAGAGCUCGUAGGUGGUUCGGUAAGUCAGGUGUGAAACCUCCAGGCUCAACCUGGAGACGCCACUUGAUACUGCUGUGACUGGAGUCCGGUAGGGAGCGUGGAAUUCCUGGUGUAGCGGUGAAAUGCGCAGAUAUCAGGAGGAACACCAGCGGCGAAGGCGGCGCUCUGGGCCGGUACUGACACUGAGGAGCGAAAGCGUGGUAGCAAACAGG
rnacentral:rRNA from 1 species